GUUAAACGGCCGCGGUAUUUUGACCGUGCAAAGGUAGCGCAAUCACUUGUCUUUUAAAUGAAGACCCGUAUGAAUGGUGAAACGAGGGCUUAACUGUCUCCCCUCUCAAGUCAAUGAAAUUGAUCUGCCCGUGCAGAAGCGGACAUAUAAAUACAAGACGAGAAGACCCUUUGGAGCUUAAGAUAUAAGAUCAACUAUGUCAAUAAGACCAAAAUCAAAUUAAACUAAAUAGCACCUGAUCCUCAUCUUCGGUUGGGGCGACCACGGAAGAAAACAAAGCUUCCAUGCGGACGGGGGCUUAAAUCCUAAAACCAAGAAAGACAUUUCUAAGUAACAGAACAUCUGACCACUAAGAUCCAGCAACCAAAGCCGAUCAGCGGACCAAGUUACCCUAGGGAUAACAGCGCAAUCCCCUUUAAGAGUCCAUAUCGACAAGGGGGUUUACGACCUCGAUGUUGGAUCAGGACAUCCUAAUGGUGCAGCCGCUAUUAAGGGUUCGUUUGUU
rnacentral:rRNA from 1 species